CUUUUUCUUUUUCUUUUUCUUUUUCUUUUUCUUUUUCUUUUUAGGUCUGAAGAUAAAACCCAGGCCCUCGCACUGAGAUACAUCCCCAUCCCUUUUUAUUAUUUUGAGACAGGGUCUCACUAAGUCACUCAAUUACUCAGGCUAAGCUUGAACUUGUGAUCCUCCUGCCUCAGCUUCCCAGAGUGCUAGGGUUACUGGCCUGGGCCACCCCCCCUGGCAUAUCUUUGGAAUUCACAUCCUGAUUGCUGAACCAGCCUCAAGCCCAGGGCCUGCUAGUGCCUGGCCAACGCUUCCUGAGCAGAUGAAGGGAGGAAAAAGCAGCUCCCCACACAGCCCAGGAGAGGAGCUCGGAGCCCCCCUGCCAUGCAGCUGGCAAACCAGCAGCCUGGAACCGGGUGCCAGGUCAGCAGAGAUUAAGCGGAGCUCCUCCUCCCUCCGUGCCGCCAGAACAGAACGCAGAGAUGUGCCUGCCGCAGCCACCAGGAUGGAGCAAGCCACGCGAAGAAAACAGCAGUGAAUUAUUCAUUUCCCACAAAUGAGCAGCCGAGAGGCGCCGAGAAUCCUCUCUCCUCAGCUUUGCACCUGGACAAUCGGACCAACACCUCGGAAGAUACCUGGAAACCAAUGACCUGCUCCGGGCAAAGCCACAGCCAUCCCACUCCUCAUAGCCUCUGAGGGGGACCAGGGACCAUCUGCAAGGCCACCUGAUCACACCACCAUCCAGCUCCCAUCACAGACAGGGAGCUGGAAGGGCCCAGGCCACAGCUCAAAGCAGGAGCCUGGGUGGGUGUCUUGGAGCUUGGCAGCACAUCUCCCAGGUUCCAGACAAAGUCACUUCUGUAAGCCACACCUCAGACCCCUCAUUACUGUUUACUUUUUUGAGACAGUGUCUCACUGUGUAGCCCAGGCUGGCCUUGGACUCACAGAGACCCUCCUGCUUCAGCCUCCCAAGCACUGAGAUUACAAGUGAGCGCCACUGCACACAGCAAAAUUCACCUUUUCUAGUUGCACAGGUCUAAGGGUUUUGACAAAUGAAUCACUAACUACCACCGUAACUUCAGCGCAGCAGUGGAAUGCAUGUUAACAAGUGGUUCCAGCUAAUAUGAAUAUUCAUUGUCGCCUAGCUAUUUCGUUGAAUUAUUUUACUAAUCACCAGUUAUCCAACGAUUUCCUUGGCUUUUUUCCAAAUAUGAGAGACUAGCAGAAUGAGACCCAGCUUCUGCUGUAUGAAGGGAACGCACCGGUGCCUAAGACAGGGGCCUCCUGGUUUGUUUUCCCCUCCCUGUCCAAUCCUGCAGCGGGAAAGCGACGGCCGGAAAGGAGCUGAUGUGCCCCAGGUCGCACAGCUGGGAGAGGCCCAUCUGGGGCUUCCAUGCGGGUCAGUGCUGCCUCCCAAGUCCAGGUCCAUCCUCCACCGCCACACAACAAAUGACAUCACUGUUGGCUCCAGAGGGUGGCAGCAGCCACGCCCUCCACUGCUCCGCUCCACAGCUCUGGCUGGGGAUCUCCCAAACCAAUGCCAGUCCAAAGUGGAUGGUGGGUGUCCAAGCAGCAAGCAGGAGAGGCCCUGGCCACUCUGCCUGCCCAGUGAGUUGCAGGGAAGCACUACAUGUUGCUAGGCAACGGAAGUGUAAAUAAAACGGGGCAACCUGGCUUUCUGUGAGGGAUCCCCUCCCCGCUUUUCUCCCA